ACGCACGCUGGCGGCGUGCCUCAUCCAUGCAAGUAGCACGCUGAAGAGAGGAGCUUGCUCUUCUUGGAUGAGUUGCGAACGGGUGAGUAACGCGUAGGUAACCUGCCUUGUAGCGGGGGAUAACUAUUGGAAACGAUAGCUAAUACCGCAUAACAAUGGAUGACACAUGUCAUUUAUUUGAAAGGGGCAAUUGUUCCACUACAAGAUGGACCUGCGUUGUAUUAGCUAGUAGGUGAGGUAAUGGCUCACCUAGGCGACGAUACAUAGCCGACCUGGGAGGGUGAGCGGCCACACUGGGACUGAGACACGGCCCAGACUCCUACGGGAGGCAGCAGUAGGGAAUCUUCGGCAAUGGGGGCAACACUGACCGAGCAACGCCGCGUGAGUGAAGAAGGUUUUCGGAUCGUAAAGCUCUGUUGUAAGUCAAGAACGGGUGUGAGAGUGGAAAGUUCACACUGUGACGGUAGCUUACCAGAAAGGGACGGCUAACUACGUG
rnacentral:rRNA from 1 species